GACGAACGCUGGCGGCGUGCUUAACACAUGCAAGUCGAACGAUGAAGCCGGAGCUUGCUCUGGUGAAUUAGUGGCGAACGGGUGAGUAACACGUGCGUAACCCGCCCUUGACUCUGGGAUAACUGCGGGAAACUGUAGCUAAUACCGGAUACGACCCUCGGAGGCAUCUCCUGGGGGUGGAAAGAAUUUCGGUCAAGGAUGGACUCGCGGCCUAUCAGCUAGUUGGUGAGGUAAAGGCUCACCAAGGCGACGACGGGUAGCCGGCCUGAGAGGGUGACCGGCCACACUGGGACUGAGACACGGCCCAGACUCCUACGGGAGGCAGCAGUGGGGAAUAUUGCACAAUGGGCGCAAGCCUGAUGCAGCAACGCCGCGUGAGGGAUGACGGCCUUCGGGUUGUAAACCUCUUUUAGCAGGGAAGAAGCGAAAGUGACGGUACCUGCAGAAAAAGCACCGGCUAACUACGUGCCAGCAGCCGCCGUAA
rnacentral:rRNA from 1 species